GAGGAAGGUGAAUUGGUUGAUUUCCAAAAGAACUGUUUGGUUAUCUUGGAUAUUUUUGCCAAAUGGCAUGGUCAUACCUGCUGGACCCAAUUAUUGGAGGAAGUUUAUUGUUGACAUACACAACGGGCAAUGUUGCACGUCUUCCUACUAUAGCUUCUUUUGCUAGAGCACUGCAGGUCACCGUUGGAUCAUGGUGCUCCAAUUCUAUGAGGUGGUAGCGAGCACCUGGUCCUCCGCUUCUGACCAUGACUGUGGACCUUCCUCCCUUCUCGUGCUAGCCAACACAGGUUGAUCUCUGCUUGUAAAUAUAUGACUGCAGUUCCCACGUGCGGUGGUUGCUUAGCCCACUGGUAGGAUCAUCUGCUUGUUAGACUUUCAAGCCGCAAAAUGUGUUGUUUAGUUACUUGGGUAGCCGACGUCCUUUGAUCACCAAAACAUGUAAUAGAUUUUGUACUGUCUAGGUCCUCGCCAUCAGGCAAUCAACAUACCAUUGCUAAAUUCGUACGUCCGAAUUUGUCGUUUCUUUUU